CCUACGGGAGGCAGCAGUCGAGAAUCAUUCACAAUGGGGGAAACCCUGAUGGUGCGACGCCGCGUGGGGGAAUGAAGGUCUUCGGAUUGUAAACCCCUGUCAUGUGGGAGCAAAUUAAAAAGAUCGUACCACAAGAGGAAGAGACGGCUAACUCUGUGCCAGCAGCCGCGGUAAUACAGAGGUCUCAAGCGUUGUUCGGAAUCACUGGGCGUAAAGCGUGCGUAGGCUGUUUCGUAAGUCGUGUGUGAAAGGCGCGGGCUCAACCCGCGGACGGCACAUGAUACUGCGAGACUAGAGUAAGGGAGGGGGAACCGGAAUUCUCGGUGUAGCAGUGAAAUGCGUAGAUAUCGAGAGGAACACUCGUGGCGAAGGCGGGUUCCUGGACAUUAACUGACGCUGAGGCACGAAGGCCAGGGGAGCGAAAGGGAUUAGAUACCCUUGUAGUC
rnacentral:rRNA from 1 species